CCUGGGGGCUGCGGGUUGGGGCGUCUGGAUGUGAAGCGUAAACACAGCACGUCCGUCCACACGCUGGAGUCUCGUCCAGACUCGGAAAGUCAGGGCGUCCUGCCGCCUGCCACCGUGUGGACAGACCGGAGGACACUGCGCAGUGACAGGAGCCGGGCACAGAAGGACGCGUCCCGCGUGACCCCCUAGAGGAGUCCCAUCCGCGAAGACAGAGUAGAUGGCAGGGGGCGGGGAUUCCUGUCCCUAAGGAGAAGCUUCCGGGUAGAUGUGAGUCAUCAUCUCCAGUUUGAGAUGUUGGUAAGACAGGAUGGGUCAGGAGGAGGUAAGGGUGACCCGGCAGGUGGGGGAGGUGACAGGAGCAAAGGUCAUGGGGCCAGGAGCCCAGGCACACUUGGGAAAGAGAUGGGGGGUGGUGAGCGGGCAGCUGGCUGGCACAUCCUACAGGGGGGUGGCUGAGGGGGGUUCUGCUCUGAGGUCAUGCUCGCCGGGUUCAGAUCCCACCUCCACCCCCCUCACAAACCGUGUGUCCUUGAGUUGGGGUCUUAAACUCCCUCAAACUCCCUCUUUUCAUGGGAAAAUCAGGCUGUUGACACGCGAGAAAGGAUGGCCCAGACCGCACUUGGCACAUGGGAAAUGUGUCUCCAUACGCCUCCCCUGCUGAGGUUACCUGGAAAUCCACGGAAGGCCACCCCUUCCCUCCUUGGACACCCACGCCCCCCCCCAACUGGCCUCGCUGCAGUGCUCAGAGGAUCCCUCCCUCGGCUCACCCUCCCAAAGUAACACACACGCCAGAAAACCUCCCGCUCCCCUUUUCUGUUUUUUAAGUAGGCUUCACGUUCAGCGCCCCAAUGCGGGGCUUGAACUCACGACCCUGAGAUCACGGCUGAGAUAGGCUCAGCAGGGCUGCUGAGCUGCUGUCCUUGGAAUGCACCCGGCAGGGUCCUACCCCCAGGCCUUUGCUGGUUCCUCUCCCUGGAACACCCUCCUACCCCGUGUCAUCUCCCCACUGUCCCCCUGCACCCUCCAUCUCAGCGGGGCUCCCCGCCCCCCCCCUCGCAGCCUGAGAUGUUUCACACCCCUGCCCCGCCACCUCGCACAUUUCAUACUCACCCCUUGUUUCUUCUUAGCCUUUCACACCGUCUAUGUGUCUUACCUCCCCCUCCUAGUUACCCCCCGCCCCGUGCCCCUUAUGGGAGCAUGGAUGCCCCAGGGCUGGAGUUCCCAGCACACAGUAGGUGCUCAAAAAAGACGUGUUGGUUGAACGACUGAAUGAGUCCGCUAACUAAUGAAGGGACUGGUGAGAUGUCACAACACUCUCAACUCCAGAACCACGCAUUUCUAGGCAAUCGGGAUGCUGAAAUAAAUGUGUUUCACGGGUACGAAAGGAUACGGACCACCAUCGACUUUCCAUCGUUGACCGGAGAGUUCAUGCCGCUUGGCUGCAGGACACGGUUCCCCGGAGGCUGCCCACACUGCAGGCACCAGCCGCGAGCUUGGGGGCCCGAGACGGCCCAGAGCCACCGAGGACUCGGAAAAGGGUCCCACCGCUGGUUCCAAGUGGCCGUGAAUUUUGGGGGGACACGUUCGCUCCAACACACAGUGAAGAUUCAGGGCUCCCGGGCAGGAGGGGGGCACACGUACAGACAGAUGUGGAAUCAACCCCAAUGUCCAUCAGCUGAUGGUGGGUGAGAGAGAUGUGGUUCAUCCCCACGACGGAAUUCAUUCACCUGCUAGCAAGAGCGAGGCGCCCACCCCCGCCACCCCGCGGAUGGACCCCGAGCACACGACGCCCAGGGAGGGAACCAGACCCGAGAGGCCACACGGGGUGUGAGUCCACGUGUGUGAGACGUCCAGAACGGGCCCAUCCACGGACGGGAAGGGGGCUCU